rnacentral:lncRNA from 1 species
GUGUUCUGUUGGACAUCAGCACAUUCACAGAACUCCCAACAUCAGACAAAGCAAUGGCGAGCAUGGAAGAUCAAGACAAAAAAGGAGCACCUCCUGAUCAAAUCUGGAACCCGGCAAAACCACGAGCAUCCCCCGGAAGUGACCAAACCUGCCACUGUUGGCGGCCAUGUGACUCUUACUAAAAACUAUAACCUUAGGCUUGCUUCACCCUGCUGCUUUUUAGAGAAGAUAUAUAAAAAUACUCCAUAAGCCCUUGUAUUGUGUUAAAUACAUUUCAAUGUUUUGUUAACUUCAUUUGAGUCAUCCCAGGAUCUCUCCGCUUUGUGAAUAUAAAGUGGACAGUUGGGAACAAUUACUUAAUAGUUUCUUUUUUUCCCCUCCUAGGUUUUGGUUCAGAAUUUCUUCUAUCUCUAGUGUCCGUCAAGAUUGCAAGGUCUCUUGGAUCAGUAGAUGUCACUGGACUAAAGAGAAACACGUUUACCCUCGGCACUGUCUCCAGGGCUCAACACAUUUCUCCAGACUUCCGGGAUGUUUUAAAAAGUCCUUUUUUCCCCUGCUAUCUGCAAAGCCUUAUGUGCUAAGUGUGACUCCUGACCUACUAGUAAGCUGAGAGUCUGCAAGACCGGGAGCCUCGUGUCACUGAGCAGGGGAUGAGGGCGAGGAUUUAAAUGGGACAUCAAGGUGCGUCUUCAUUUUAAAAACGAAGGAUUAGUAAAAAUCUGAGUCAAGAAUUGCCACACACGUAGAACUAAGGUAGGAGAAAGAGGACUCUGCUGUGCUCGAUCUGAAAGGAUCUUUACCUACUGCAUGUGACCGUUUUAUCAGACGGGAUGGGACUGUCGCUAAAGUAAGGUCAGUGAUGAGCGUUGCCCUGGAGGUUGCUGCCCCACAAGUGGGCCCUGGGCCGUCAGCCGGACGUGCUCUCGGCCAUCAGAACCAUCCCUAGAAUGGCAAUCACCACCACCACUAACAACAGUGCAGAAAGCCAGCUCUUUAUUUGUUUUAUAUGAAUGACUUCCAACCAGAUUUCUGGAACAGUUCAGUGUAGCUGACAGUGAAUGUGUAACAGGAGUGCAUAGCAGACCAUGUUAAAAAAUGUGGCGUUGUCCCCAAGUACAGUAUGACUAAGACAUCCUACAUUUAGCAGCACCUUUUUGUAACAGUAACUUAAAUGAGCAGUAGAGAAAGAGCAUAGGAGAAACUGAAAUGGGUCUGACGAUAAAACACAAACUAUUCAGGACAUUUCCAGCAUUUGCUAGGUUGACUACAAAGAUCAGGAUUCUACAACAGAAUAGGUUAAGAUUAAGCCUUUGCUGAGGGAAAAGACUAAUUUUACAUUCCACAAGUCAGUAAAUCUCCCCUUGCCCUUGGGAUUAUUUCCUCAUUUACAGAUAGAACACACUGUUUACACAUAUGUCUGCCAUACGAUUUUCACAUAUAGAUGCUCAUGUCAAAUUCUGCGAGAUUGUGUUUUGAGGAAUACUCUGAUUUGGACUAAUAUGUUUGACAGUAAAGUGAAAAAUUAAGAAUCCAGAUAUAAGAUUUUAAAACUUGAAUCUUUUGGCAUGACUCUUUGAAAGGGAUUAGUGGUAGCAGCAAGUCAGAUAAAUACCAGUUAUACUUUGAGAAUCUAUAUAUUCCAUAGCCAUUAAUUGGGAUGAAAAUUUCAGAAAUAUUUUAAACAAGUAACUUUAACUGGAAUAUGGUGUCCCAACGGUACGAGUAUUUUACAUCAGAAAUGUAUGUUUUUAUCUUCAGUAAACAAAGUUGUCAACAGUACAGAACUAAUUAACAAAAAGAUUAAUUGUGAGGAAAAUGUUUCUUACAUUGGCUGAUGAAACCCUUUAACUGUAACUCGUCUGUAAAACUGAGUUUUUUUGUGGAGGGAGGGAAAUAAGGAGUUAAAUGUGAAACAACUGUACAUAUAAAGGUCCACGAAUAUUUGGCAAGAACCUGGAAUAGUCAAAAAUAGAUUAACCAAUUUAACAAAAUAAUCAUUGUAUGAUGCGUAGAGCUGAAAUUAGGGCAGAAGAGAUUGGCAUUUUCCAGGGACAAACUUGGGGCGCUCGGUGCUUGUGCACCUAAUACUGUCUUACCUGUCCAGUCAUAACUGGACGAAACGGACACAUAAGUGACACAGAAAAGGUUUUAGCCUUAGCGUGGCCACACACUGUGAGCUGCUGACAGUGCUGUCACUGAGGGGUGGGGGAUGGGAUCUUCUGGGCUCCCCUUCAGAGUAGGCGUCUAACGUAGGAAGACACUCUUCACGUCUUGUUCACUUCCGGUCCCCUCAUUUUGCCCUGAUUACAUCUGAAGAGCAGAAACUUUGGUUAUAAGAAGCACUUCUAGGCUGGACGGACAGUGGACGUGUCGGAGCUGGUGGCAGGGAAUGGAACGGAGGGUCCAUUUGAGGGAGAGAAACGACAGGAACGAUAGGCAAGGUUUAGAAGAGGAAGGGGGAGAAGUUAGAAAAAUUUAUUGUCCCACGAAAUAAUUCUACAAGCUGUGUAAACAUUUCUUACUAAAACAAAUACUCAAGCACACAACGAUUGUACAUUUCCAGUGAAACACUCACAGUUAAAAGUUGCUUGUACUCUUGCUCUAGAAGCAAA